rnacentral:rRNA from 1 species
UGGCGGCGUGCCUAAUACAUGCAAGUCGAGCGGACAGAUGGGAGCUUGCUCCCUGAUGUUAGCGGCGGACGGGUGAGUAACACGUGGGUAACCUGCCUGUAAGACUGGGAUAACUCCGGGAAACCGGGGCUAAUACCGCAUGCUUGUUUGAACCGCAUGGUUCAGACAUAAAAGGUGGCUUCGGCUACCACUUACAGAUGGACCCGCGGCGCAUUAGCUAGUUGGUGAGGUAACGGCUCACCAAGGCGACGAUGCGUAGCCGACCUGAGAGGGUGAUCGGCCACACUGGGACUGAGACACGGCCCAGACUCCUCGGGAGGCAGCAGUAGGGAAUCUUCCGCAAUGGACGAAAGUCUGACGGAGCAACGCCGCGUGAGUGAUGAAGGUUUUCGGAUCGUAAAGCUCUGUUGUUAGGGAAGAACAAGUGCCGUUCAAAUAGGGCGGCACCUUGACGGUACCUAACCAGAAAGCCACGGCUAACUACGUGCUAGCAGCCGCGGUAAUACGUAGGUGGCAAGCGUUGUCCGGAAUUAUUGGGCGUAAAGGGCUCGCAGGCGGUUUCUUAAGUCUGAUGUGAAAGCCCCCGGCUCAACCGGGGAGGGUCAUUGGAAACUGGGGAACUUGAGUGCAGAAGAGGAGAGUGGAAUUCCCGUGUAGCGGUGAAAUGCGUAGAGAUGUGGAGGAACACCAGUGGCGAAGGCGACUCUCUGGUCUGUAACUGACGCUGAGGAGCGAAAGCGUGGGGAGCGAACAGGAUUAGAUACCCUGGUAGUCCACGCCGUAAACGAUGAGUGCUAAGUGUUAGGGGGUUUCCGCCCCUUAGUGCUGCAGCUAACGCAUUAAGCACUCCGCCUGGGGAGUACGGUCGCAAGACUGAAACUCAAAGGAAUUGACGGGGGCCCGCACAAUCGGUGGAGCAUGUGGUUUAAUUCGAAGCAACGCGAAGAACCUUACCAGGUCUUGACAUCCUCUGACAAUCCUAGAGAUAGGACGUCCCCUUCGGGGGCAGAGUGACAGGUGGUGCAUGGUUGUCGUCAGCUCGUGUCGUGAGAUGUUGGGUUAAGUCCCGCAACGAGCGCAACCCUUGAUCUUAGUUGCCAGCAUUCAGUUGGGCACUCUAAGGUGACUGCCGGUGACAAACCGGAGGAAGGUGGGGAUGACGUCAAAUCAUCAUGCCCCUUAUGACCUGGGCUACACACGUCUACAAUGGGCAGAACAAAGGGCAGCGAAACCGCGAGGUUAAGCCAAUCCCACAAAUCAGUUCUCAGUUCGGAUCGCAGUCUGCAACUCGACUGCGUGAAGCUGGAAUCGCUAGUAAUCGCGGAUCAGCAUGCCGCGGUGAAUACGUUCCCGGGCCUUGUACACACCGCCCGUCACACCACGAGAGUUUGUAACACCCGAAGUCGGU